GAUGAACGCUGGCGGCGCGCCUAAUACAUGCAAGUCGAGCGACGAAACAGUUCUUCGUAAGAAGAGCUGCUGAAAGCGGCGAACGGGUGAGUAACACGUGGGUGACCUGCCCUCAGCUCUGGGAUAAGCCCGGGAAACUGGGUCUAAUACUGGAUAUGACUCCAUGACGCAUGCUGUGGGGUGGAAAGCCUUGUGCGGCUGAGGAUGGGCCCGCGGCCUAUCAGCUUGUUGGUGGGGUGAUGGCCUACCAAGGCGACGACGGGUAGCCGGCCUGAGAGGGCGACCGGCCACACUGGGACUGAGACACGGCCCAGACUCCUACGGGAGGCAGCAGUGGGGAAUCUUGCGCAAUGGGCGAAAGCCUGACGCAGCGACGCCGCGUGAGGGAUGACGGCCUU
rnacentral:rRNA from 1 species